GAUGAAGAACGUAGCGAAAUGCGAUAAGUAGUGUGAAUUGCAGAAUUCAGUGAAUCAUCGAAUCUUUGAACGCACAUUGCGCCCCUUGGUAUUCCAUGGGGCAUGCCUGUUCGAGCGUCAUUUGUACCUUCAAGCUCUGCUUGGUGUUGGGUGUUUGUCUCGCCUCUGCGCGUAGACUCGCCUCAAAACAAUUGGCAGCCGGCGUAUUGAUUUCGGAGCGCAGUACAUCUCGCGCUUUGCACUCAUAACGACGACGUCCAAAAGUACAUUUUUACACUCUUGACCUCGGAUCAGGUAGGGAUACCAGCUGAACUUAAGCAUAUCAAUAAGCGGAGGA
rnacentral:misc_RNA from 1 species